CAUAAGCUCUCGUGCGGUCUCCUGAAGACCUCCAGCUCACCCGCAUCCGCAUGCCCGCCGCCUGCGCCGCUCGCGCCUCCAAAGACCUCCACAGCAGCGGCUCCGCACCAUCCCAAGUUUUCCCCCUUUUCUCUCCACGGGUUUUUUUGGGCUUUUCUGCAGGUUUUUGACGAACCGAACAGGCCCUAAGGGUGUAUUUAUUUUUAGGAUCUAUAAUCCACCUCUGGUAAGCUUUCAAACAUGAUUCAAUAAUCGUCAAAACUCCUAAAAAAUUUUGUUUUGCUCUCUCACUUCAACCUCAAUCUCGCUGCUGCUUCGAGAAUCGCCGCUUCAAAUUCGAUCAGCGAUCAGAUCAAAAUCCUCUCGCUCCAUCUCCGGUGACCAGAAAAUCCUAGUUAAUUCCUAACCUUGAAAGCCUUCUCAAAAUCUCACAUGGAUGAUGUAAAUAUGGAGGUUGAAGAAGAGAACGAAGAAGAUGAGGACAUUGACUUUAAUCCGUUUCUUAGAGGAGAUUCCCCUUCCGAAGCCUCUUCAAGUUUGAGUUCUGAGAAUGAAGGUCCAACCGACAAUGUUGAGAGAGAAUUCGGGAGCUCAUCAAAUUUAAAAGAUGCUAGUUUGUCAUUUAGACAACCAGAGGAGAUGCGAAUUGUGAUGCAAAUGACAGCCCAUCGAGGAGAUGGUCUUACAGGCAGUCCAACGAAGACAGAGAUUAACUUCCAUCGAUCAG